CCUUGGUAUUUUUAUGGUAAAGAAAGAAGUAAAAGACAGCAGAACUAAAAAUAUAUCUUGGCUUUGGUGCAUUCCUGCAAUCAAACACAUCUUAAAAGAAGAGAUAUGCCUGCGUACUAAAGAGCAACGUAUCACCAAAACAGCUCAAUUACUUGCUUGAUCUUGUCUAUUUUAAAACGCUUUUAUUAGAUUCAAUUGAAUGUAUGUAUGUUUGUUUGUAACUUUUUUAAGUGGUACUGAAACCUAGAAUAUGUGAGUGACACUGUAGGAAGGCGAUAGUCACCCCUAUUCUGCAUUUCUACUCGAAUCGUAAUUUUCUCCGAUUGGGAACUUUGGUAUUCUGCGUUUCGAUUCAACUUCGAAAAUUCCAAUUCUAUGUAUUCUGCAUUGCGAUCGUAAUUACGUUUUUGUACGUUGAAGUUUUGUUGGCGGAAAGCCGUUAUAUAUUCAUUUUCGUGCACUUGGAUAAAAUAAUUUCCUCAAAUAUGUCAAAAGUAACAACAGCAGAGCAAUACGAAAAAUUGUGUGAUAUGAUGGCCACGAAAAGAGAUAUUGCGCAGGGCUUCCAAAAGCGACCGAAGGAAGAAGUACAGGAGUUUUGGGAGAAGGUUGCUAGGCUGGUGAAGGAAAAAGUAGAAAUAAAAAUGCAAAUGCUAAGAUUAGAUCCAAAUUAUAAGCCGGAUUCAAAGUAGUCAUUUUUUAAUUGUUAGCCUUUUAUUUAUUUUACUAUUAUUCAUUUAUAUAACGAGCUGUGAAAUGAAAUAAAAGCAUUUACUUUUUUAAAAUAGGAGCUGUAAAAUGCACUGAA